rnacentral:tRNA from 1 species
GAGGAUAUAGCUCAUUGGUACAGUGCGUGCUUAGCAUGCACGAGGUCCUGGGUUCAAUCCCCAGUAUUUCCU